UGAAAAUAAGCUAGACACAUCCUGGAGUUGGGGUGAAGGCAUCUCAGUAGUUUGACAGGAUCCAUGGAGAGGAGUCUAGAAACUGUGUUGGGGCUGCUGUGGAUAUGGCUUUGCUGGGUGAGAGGGAUGCAGGUGGUGCAGAAUCCUCCAGCCCUGAGUGUCCAUGAGGGAGCCAGCUCUGGCCUGAGAUGCAAUUUUUCUACCACCAUGACAGCUGUGCAGUGGUUCCAACAGAAUCCUGGGGGAAGCCUCAUUAGUCUGCUGUACAUGGCUCCAGGAACGAAGGAGAAUGGGAGGCUAAAGUCAACAUUCAAUUCUAAGGAGCGCUACAGCACCCUGCACAUCAGGGAAGCUCAGCUGAAGGAUGCAGGCACCUACCUCUGUGCAGGGCAGGCACAGUGGUCCCAGCAAGGCUAGAGCCUGGCCCCAAACUGCAGCUGGGUGACUAGCUACAGCCCCUGCCACAGUGAGAGUCUGUAGCGGCAUUUGCACAGCUGUGGGGUCCCAGGUUUAUGCUGCAUCUCUGUCAUUUCUGCUAACACUAGACUGUUCAAGACUGCUGUUUCACUUCAUUGUGCCCUUUCCCUCACAGAUUGCCAUGCUCUGGAACAAAUUCUUAUGAAGACUAUUGGAACAACUGACAAAGAUGACAAGGUUCAAAGUUCUGUUGGCACAGCAUUAACUGUUCAUAAAUUAAUGCUUGACAAAAGGCUUUAAAGAGACAUGCUUUUCAUCAAAACAAGAGGUGACUCAGAGGCCAUCCAGAGAUUGCCCCAACUGGGAUCCACUCCAUAUACUGUCACAAAACUCAGACAGACACUAAUGUGGAUGCAAACAAGUGCUUCCUAAUAAGAGCCUGAUAUAGCUGUCUCCUGAGAGGCUCUGCCAGUACCUGACAAAUACAGAGGUGGGUGCUCCCAGCCAACCAUUGGAUUGAUCACAAGGUUCCCAAUGGAAGAGCUAGAGAAAAGACCCAAGGAGCUGAAGGAUCUUUCACCCCUAUAGGAGGAACAAUAUUAUGAACCAACUAGUACCCCCAGAGCUCUCAGGGACUAAACUACCAACCAAGGAGUACACAUGGAGGGACCCAUGGCUCCAGCUGCAUAUGUGGCAGAGGAUGACCUUGUUGGACAUCAAAAGGAGGAGAGAACCUUUGGCCCUGAGAAAGCUCGAUGCCCCAGUAUAGGGGAAUACC